rnacentral:lncRNA from 1 species
CUUCGUUCUGUUCUUCGUUCUGUUCUUCGUUCUGUUCUUCGUGCUGUUCUUCGUGCUGUUCUUCUUGCUGUUCUUCGUUCUGUUCUUCGUGCUGUUCUUCUUGCUGUUCUUCGUUCUGUUCUUCGUGCUGUUCUUCUUGCUGUUCUUCUUGCUGUUCUUCAUUCUGUUCUUCGUGCUGUUCUUCGUGCUGUUCUUCUUGCUGUUCUUCUUGCUGUUCUUCUUGCUGUUCUUCGUUCUGUUCUUCGUUCUGUUCUUCGUGCUGUUCUUCUUGCUGUUCUUCUUGCUGUUCUUCUUGCUGUUCUUGCUGUUCUUCGUUCUGUUCUUCAUUCUGUUCUUCUUGCUGUUCUUCGUUCUGUUCUUUGUUCUGUUCUUCGUUCUGUUCUUCUUGCUGUUCUUCUUGCUGUUCUUCGUUCUGUUCUUCGUUCUGUUCUUCGUGCUGUUCUUCGUGCUGUUCUUCUUGCUGUUCUUCUUGCUGUUCUUCGUUCUGUUCUUCGUUCUGUUCUUCGUGCUGUUCUUCUUGCUGUUCUUCUUGCUGUUCUUCUUGCUGUUCUUGCUGUUCUUCGUUCUGUUCUUCAUUCUGUUCUUCUUGCUGUUCUUCGUUCUGUUCUUCGUUCUGUUCUUCGUUCUGUUCUUCGUGCUGUUCUUCUUGCUGUUCUUGCUGUUCUUCGUUCUGUUCUUCGUUCUGUUCUUCGUUCUGUUCUUCAUUCUGUUCUUCUUGCUGUUCUUCGUUCUGUUCUUCGUUCUGUUCUUCGUUCUGUUCUUCGUUCUGUUCUUCUUGCUGUUCUUGCUGUUCUUGCUGUUCUUCUUGCUGUUCUUCUUGCUGUUCUUCGUGCUGUUCUUCUUGCUGUUCUUGCUGUUCUUCGUUCUGUUCUUCGUUCUGUUCUUCGUUCUGUUCUUCGUUCUGUUCUUCGUUCUGUUCUUCGUUCUGUUCUUCGUUCUAUUCUUCGUUCUGUUCUUCUUGCUGUUCUUCGUUAUGUUCUUCGUUCUGUUCUUCGUUCUGUUCUCCGUGCUGUUCUUCGUACUAUUCUUCAUUCUCCACGUUCACCAUCAUCAGGAGACAAACAAGCUUCUCUGCUAAAUCUCAAACAAUAUUUCAGCCUGGACCAAAGUGAUGGACCGACGCUGGCAUGACUAAAGCGUUCC